ensembl:lncRNA
GAAUUGCUGAUGUCUGUGAAGUACUCAUAGAUUGUAAUAUUGUCAAUUGAAAAGUACCUUGGGGAACAAAUAAGAGAACAGACAAUAAAGUCUGAUGCCACAUUAAACUAUGAGGAGAAUACAAAUCAUGCAGUUGUUGCUCAUUUCAUGGCCACUUCUUGAUCUGAAUACUGGAAACAGCAAAUUACUCUGAAAAAAUAGUUAUGUAGCAUGUCACUGGGAGCUGAGUCAUAGUACCUCCAUGGAAGUGUUAAUUGGAAAAACACCAUCCCUUUCAUUUCAUCUAAUAGUAAUAGUGUACAAGAUGUGUUUUUUCAAGCCUUCUCCACUUAUAGAUCCCUAAAAGCUUUGCAGGAGAGAUGCAGACCCUUGGAUAAGAACAAGAUAAUGGUUUAUUCCAUGGUUACCUCUUCUGAAGCCCUUGGAAGUCUUCUAGAUCUCUCAGAGUCUGCGGACCACAUGUUGAAACCACUGUUUCUGACUGUAUAGCUCACACAGGAAAAAAAAAAAGAAGAAAAAAAAAGCCUGUUAAAUCAAAAAUCAUUCUCUUGGUCUUUCUAGUAACAUACACUGUGUAAUAAUUAAGCGUAUGAAACGUUCAGUGCCCUCACUGCUAGAAAUAUUCUUGAAAGAAAGAAAGGAGUUUGUUUUGACUGUACUGUAUCAGAUGUCCUGCCUAAGACUUUGUCUCUUUCUUUAUCUGUUUAGUUUUUUUUUUUUUCCAGUUGCCACUGCUCUGUUUGCUCUGGCCAACCACCACUCCUGUAGCCCUGGUCUUAGUUAGGGUUCCUGUAUGUUGGCUCACCUCUGCCUACUUAGUCCAGCUCCUACCACAUGCCAGCUUCUGCGUGCCUUCUGCUCAAGCUCUCCGUGUCCUCUGCACUGCUGCAGCUCUUCCUUUUCCCACCUGUUCCUUCCAUUGACCACUCAAUGCACUUGAUGCAUACCUCAUCCAAAAAAAGCGUGUUCUGCCAUGAGACCACAAUAAAUCAAGUGGAAGUCCCCUCUGAUGCUGGACUUGAACAGACUGGAAGAACACCAGCCCAUGCUAAGAAGACAGUUGCCAGGAAAUACAAAGUGUUGCAAGAGUAACCACCAAAUAUUUAUGGGCAGCAGUUCAAAGCGUGUUCUUCUGAGAAGCUGAAGCUGUAAAAUUCACAGUGCUAGGCUUCAUUUUUGCAAAGAUGCAUCUGAACAAGCAUCCACUAUGUUCUCAUUCAUAGCAUGGGCCUGCUAGUGGAUAAUUCUGCACAGCAGUAAUCACUUCAAGAUUUCUCCUGACUAUAUCCAAGAUUUCUGCUAUCAAUGCAAAUUGUUCCUCGGCAUCUGCUAAUAUGGAUAACACAUUUUAUUUAUAGUUUUACCUUUUCUGGUCUUCAUUUGUCCCGGUGAAAGAUGAUCUAGUUUGAUAUUUCUCAAGACAUAAUUGUUGUGUCUGAAGUCGUGCUUGUUUGUGUAACAGGGACUGCACUUGAGAGCUUUGCAGGAAUGAGAACGAGCACUGAUUUCACAAUGAGGCUGAGAUUCACUAAGGUUUCGGUGAAACAGUGGGAGAAGAGUGCAGAUAGUGAAUUCCACUUCCCUCUGCUGCAUGUAUACAUCGGUUUCCA